rnacentral:rRNA from 1 species
CCUACGGGAGGCAGCAGUGAGGAAUAUUGGUCAAUGGGCGUAAGCCUGAACCAGCCAAGUCGCGUGAAGGAUGACGGUUCUAUGGAUCGUAAACCUCUUUUAUAAGGGGAUAAAGUCCGGGACGUGUACCGGUUUGUAUGUACCUUAUGAAUAAGGAUCGGCUAACUCCGUGCCAGCAGCCGCGGUAAUACGGAGGAUCCGAGCGUUAUCCGGAUUUAUUGGGUUUAAAGGGUGCGUAGGCGGCCUUUUAAGUCAGCGGUGAAAGUCUGUGGCUCAACCAUAGAAUUGCCGUUGACACUGGGAGGCUUGAGUAUGUUUGAGGUAGGCGGAAUGCGUGGUGUAGCGGUGAAAUGCUUAGAGAUCACGCAGAACCCCGAUUGCGAAGGCAGCUUACCAAGCCAUGACUGACGCUGAGGCACGAAAGCGUGGGGAUCAAACAGGAUUAGAUACCCCGGUAGUC